rnacentral:rRNA from 1 species
UACGUAGGGUGCAAGCGUUAAUCGGAAUUACUGGGCGUAAAGCGUGCGCAGGCGGUGAUGUAAGACAGUUGUGAAAUCCCCGGGCUCAACCUGGGAACUGCAUCUGUGACUGCAUCGCUGGAGUACGGUAGAGGGGAUGGAAUUCCGCGUGUAGCAGUGAAAUGCGUAGAUAUGCGGAGGAACACCGAUGGCGAAGGCAAUCCCCGUGGACCUGUACUGACGCUCAUGCACGAAAGCGUGGGGAGCAACAGG